GACGAACGCUGGCGGCGUGCUUAACACAUGCAAGUCGAACGGAAAGGCCCUGCUUUUGUGGGGUGCUCGAGUGGCGAACGGGUGAGUAACACGUGAGUAACCUGCCCUUGACUUUGGGAUAACUUCAGGAAACUGGGGCUAAUACCGGAUAGGAGCUCCUGCUGCAUGGUGGGGGUUGGAAAGUUUCGGCGGUUGGGGAUGGACUCGCGGCUUAUCAGCUUGUUGGUGGGGUAGUGGCUUACCAAGGCUUUGACGGGUAGCCGGCCUGAGAGGGUGACCGGCCACAUUGGGACUGAGAGACGGCCCAGACUCCUACGGGAGGCAGCAGUGGGGAAUAUUGCACAAUGGGCGGAAGCCUGAUGCAGCAACGCCGCGUGCGGGAUGACGGCCUUCGGGUUGUAAACCGCUUUCGCCUGUGACGAAGCGUGAGUGACGGUAAUGGGUAAAGAAGCUCCGGCUAACUACGUG
rnacentral:rRNA from 1 species